rnacentral:rRNA from 1 species
GCUACUACCGAUUGAAUGGUUUAGUGAGACACUCGGACUGGAGUCCGUCUGCCGCUUUCGGGUGGCGGACGGGGACGGAAAGACGGUCGAACUUGAUCAUUUAGAGGAAGUAAAAGUCGUAACAAGGUUUCCGUAGGUG